rnacentral:lncRNA from 1 species
AUCCAACCAAGGCCUCAGUGAGGUCCCACGUGUCCCCCGUGGCGAGAUUUCGCCCUCCCGCCGUUGAGGAGGAAGAGUGUGAGAACAGACUUCCUAGGCACCGGGCGCCGUUCCCCAGCCGCUUCUUACGCAGCCGGGAAACCACAACGAGAUUUGGUCUUCGAGAGCAUUUAGGCGGGGACCACAACGAAUCCGGGAGUUGGCCAGAAGGAUCCAUCGAGAGGCGAAGAGUGGGGGCUGGGGGAGGAGGCACCUGCGGAGGAAGCCGGUGAGGCGGAGGCAGCCCAAAGGCGGAGGCCGCCCAAAGGCGGAGGCCAGCAAGGAUGGAGGCGCGCUGCGCUCUCGCCCUUCUCUGGGACGCGCCGCAUAGGCCACCCCUACCAAAACCGGACCCCUCCGAAGCGGAAGAAGCCGCGCACGUCCUUCUCCCGCUCACAGGUGCUGGAGUUGGAGCGGCGCUUCCUGCGCCAGAAGUACCUGGCCUCUGCGGAGAGGGCGGCGCUGGCCAAGGCCUUGCGCAUGACCGACGCACAGGUCAAAACGUGGUUCCAGAACCGACGCACCAAGUGGCGGCGCCAGACGGCGGAGGAGCGCGAGGCCGAGCGGCACCGCGCGGGCCGGCUGCUCCUGCAUCUGCAGCAGGACGCGUUGCCACGGCCGCUGCGGCCGCCGCUGCCCCCGGACCCUCUCUGCCUGCACAACUCGUCGCUCUUCGCGCUGCAGAACCUGCAGCCCUGGGCCGAGGACAACAAAGUGGCUUCAGUGUCCGGGCUCGCCUCGGUGGUGUGAGCGACGCCCGUCCGAUCGGCGUGGAGCGCCGGGCCCGGAGCGGUGGAGCGCGCGGCUGCCUGCGUCCAUGGUCUAGUGGCAGCCGGGCGCGUGAGGAGCGGCAGGCCUUGAGGCUGUCGUCGAGGGCUCCUCCACCACCGGCCGGCUCCCAAGCCAGCGUUGCGCAGAUGCACGGCCAGCUCAGAGGCGGCCUUUCCCGCCAUUUUUCACUUCACUGCCGUUACGCCCUCGCUGGAACCUGAGGCGCCGAGAGGGCGGGACCUGCAGGACAGUAGCCAAUGAGGUGCGGGGAGGGGGCCGGGCUGGCCAAUGGGAGCUGCUUUCCUGAGGGACUCGAAAUUCUCCGGCGGGUGGUCGGGAGCUGGGGCUCUGAGGGGCUCUAGCGGCGUUGCGCGCGGUGCCGGCUGGGUCUGUACCAAAGGUGUGAAGGAAAGAAGACACCGACCACGGCGAAGCAAUAGAGGGGGUGCUGGAGCGCGAGAGGCUGGCUGAUUGUGACCGAAACCAGAGGGUUGUCCACCCCGGGCAUCUCAUCCCUCAACUGUAAAAUAAUCGCUAAGGAUUCCUUCCUGACUUUGA